AUUGAACGCUGGCGGCAUGCCUUACACAUGCAAGUCGAACGGCAGCGCGGGAGCAAUCCUGGCGGCGAGUGGCGAACGGGUGAGUAAUACAUCGGAACGUGCCCAAUCGUGGGGGAUAACGCAGCGAAAGCUGUGCUAAUACCGCAUACGAUCUACGGAUGAAAGCAGGGGAUCGCAAGACCUUGCGCGAAUGGAGCGGCCGAUGGCAGAUUAGGUAGUGGGUGGGGUAAAGGCUCACCAAGCCAACGAUCUGUAGCUGGUCUGAGAGGACGACCAGCCACACUGGGACUGAGACACGGCCCAGACUCCUACGGGAGGCAGCAGUGGGGAAUUUUGGACAAUGGGCGCAAGCCUGAUCCAGCCAUGCCGCGUGCAGGAUGAAGGCCUUCGGGUUGUAAACUGCUUUUGUACGGAACGAAAAGUCUCUUUCUAAUAAAGAGGGAUCAUGACGGUACCGUAAGAAUAAGCACCGGCUAACUACGUGCCAGCAGCCGCGGUAAUAC
rnacentral:rRNA from 1 species